CCAUAGCAACGGACUUGCUGAGGUUUUUGACUUCUAAAAUAGCUGCAUUGAAGCAUGCAGCAUAAUCCCAUAGAGAUUCACCUUGUUGUUGCUUCACAGUAAAAAGACUGUUAGUACUUUUCAGGUGAAUCCUGUUGUUGUUGAAACAGAUAAUGAAUAGUUUAAUUAACUAUUCAAAAGAGGAGAUAGAUCCUGACUGAAGACCAGAGAAUCAGAUUUUUAUAGAUUUUUUGAGGGU
rnacentral:lncRNA from 1 species